rnacentral:rRNA from 1 species
CCUACGGGAGUCAGCAGUAGGGAAUAUUGCUCAAUGGGGGAAACCCUGAAGCAGCAACGCCGCGUGGAGGAUGCAGGUUUUCGGAUUGUAAACUCCUUUUGUUAGAGAAGAUAAUGACGGUAUCUAACGAAUAAGCACCUGCUAACUCCGUGCCAGCAGCCGCGGUAAUACGGAGGGUGCAAGCGUUACUCGGAAUCACUGGGGGGAAAGAGGGCGUAGGCGGGAAAGGAAGUCUGAUGUGAAAUCCUAUGGCUUAACCAUGGAACUGCAUUUGAAACUGUUAUUCUAGAGUAUGGGAGAGGUAGGUGGAAUUCUUGGUGUAGGGGUGAAAUGCGUAGAGAUCACGAGGAAUACUCAUUGCGAAGGCGGCCUGCUAGAACAUAACUGACGCUGAUGCGCGAAAGCGUGGGGAGCGAACAGGAUUAGAUACCCCAGUAGUC